CACAGAGGAGCCAAGUGUUGUCCGGAUUGACUGGGCGUAAAGCGUGCGCAGGCGGUUGUGCAAGACAGAUGUGAAAUCCCCGGGCUUAACCUGGGAACUGCAUUUGUGACUGCACGGCUAGAGUGUGUCAGAGGGGGGUAGAAUUCCACGUGUAGCAGUGAAAUGCGUAGAUAUGCGGAGGAACACCGAUGGCGAAGGCAAUCCCCUGGGCCUGCACUGACGCUCAUGCACGAAAGCGUGGGGAGCAAACAGG
rnacentral:rRNA from 1 species